GCCUCAGUAACGGCGAGUGAAGCGGCAAAAGCUCAAAUUUGAAAUCUGGCUCUUUUAGGGUCCGAGUUGUAAUUUGUAGAAGAUGCUUUGGGUGUGGCUCCGGUCUAAGUUCCUUGGAACAGGACGUCAUAGAGGGUGAGAAUCCCGUAUGUGAUCGGUUGCCUUCGCCCGUGUAAAGCUCUUUCGACGAGUCGAGUUGUUUGGGAAUGCAGCUCAAAAUGGGUGGUAUAUUUCAUCUAAAGCUAAAUAUUGGCCAGAGACCGAUAGCGCACAAGUAGAGUGAUCGAAAGAUGAAAAGCACUUUGGAAAGAGAGUUAAACAGUACGUGAAAUUGUUGAAAGGGAAGCGCUUGCAAUCAGACUUGCAUGUAGUUGAUCAUCUAGUGUUCUCACUGGUGCACUCUGCUAUAUUCAGGCCAGCAUCGGUUUUGGUGGUUGGAUAAAGGCCUUGGGAAUGUAGCUCCUCUCGGGGAGUGUUAUAGCCCUCGGUGCAAUGCAGCCUACCGGGACCGAGGACCGCGCUUCGGCUAGGAUGCUGGCGUAAUGGUUGUAAGCGACCCGUCUUGAAACACGGACCAAGGAGUCUAACAUCUAUGCGAGUGUUUGGGUGUUAAACCCAUACGCGUAAUGAAAGUGAACGGAGGUGAGAACCCUUUAUGGUGCAUCAUCGACCGAUCCUGAUGUCUUCGGAUGGAUUUG
rnacentral:rRNA from 1 species